GCCGCUGGGGUGAGCGCGAUCAAAGGGAAUGAACUAUUCAUACACCCAGCAGCCUGUGCAAACGUCCAGAGUGGAGAACGCCAAUUCCAGAGGCUCCCUACUCAGUUUCUGGGUUGUACCACCUCAUCUGGCAGCCCACCUACUGUUGUGACCCACAGUCUCCCCAGGUCUAUGCCUGAUUCCCGUGUCCUGGGAUGGCCCCACGGAGCAGCAGGAAGGUUUCCCUCGCGUUCACGAUGUAGUGAGAACCACCCCAGCUGCAGUUUGCACGCCAGAGCUGGGAUGGUCUGCCUGCUGCUUUUCUCGGGUUCAGGAGUGAGGGCGUGGCCUCUCUGACAUGCUCUCGUGCCAGCAGUGGACAGGCCACCUUGUCUUGUGAGCCCGGGAGGUCGUUUUCAUUUUAGAGUGACCUCUGUCAGAGGGAAAAGUGCUAACGGUAUUUCCGAAUGUACUAGAAUGUCCUCAAAGAUGAAAUUUGGGUUUAUUUUUCCCCCUUUCUUGUGAGACUCAUUGCGAUGAUGCCCUCAGAUUAUUACAGAAAAUAAAUGAGUCAAAUUGGG